UCAAGUUUUCGGGUUUCAGCAAUUUUCAUUGACUCUUAGCUUUAAGUUUUCAUUUGUUUUUACUUUUUAUUUAUUCCUUUACGCAUUCUAACACUUUCUUGUUUUACAACAGAAUUCUUUGAUGUCUAGUCCAAGUUUGGACUCAUAGUGCUAUUAGGUUUGCUUUGAUAGCUUGAUUCUAAUACAUUCUCACUGAUUGAUACAGACAAUUUUUAAAAGACUCACAAGACUCACAGUAGCAGAUAAUGAAAAUCUGUGAAUGUAUUGGCUUUUUGAUAUGUCAGUGUAAGCAUGAAUGCAAGUUUCAAGCAAUGGCGUCUAUUAGAUGGAGCUAUGGAUGGGUGGCAGAUAGAAACAUGAUGAAAUUCUGGUCAAGUGUGCAAGAGUUCAUUACAUAAUAUUAAGAGGUAAAAUGUUCAACAGCAUGGGAUUUCAACAUUAUAUUGCUUCUGGGUAGCUCUUUUCGUAUUAAUUUGUAUCUAUAGUAGACUAUGUCUGCUGAUCAUCCUGUCUUAAAAUUGAUAAUCAGUAGAGGAAAUCAUUGCUUCAGAUCGUAUUACCUUGACUAUCUUACAAAGCAUAGCUCUUUUCGUAUUAAUUUGUAUCUAUAGUAGAUUAUGUCCGCUGAUCAUCCCGUCUUAAAAUCUAAAACUGUUGAUAAUCACUAGAGGAAACCAUUGCUUCAGAUCUUAUUACCUUGACUAUCUUACAAGGCUAGCUGCUACAACAGUAGCUGAUAAUAAAAAACAAUCAUUGUAUAGUCAUGAAUGAAGCAAAUGACAGAAAAUUACCUUGACUGGAUGCUUGAAAAUUAGUGAUAGACCUUGGAGAUCAAAAGAAAUUAAAAAGAGCGAAGAAGAAGGUGAAACAGAAAUAAGCAAAAUUGUGAUAGGAAUUAAU
rnacentral:lncRNA from 1 species